rnacentral:rRNA from 1 species
AAUACCGCAUAAGCGCACAGGGCCGCAUGGUCUGGUGUGAAAAACUCCGGUGGUGUAAGAUGGACCCGCGUCUGAUUAGGUAGUUGGUGGGGUAACGGCCCACCAAGCCGACGAUCAGUAGCCGACCUGAGAGGGUGACCGGCCACAUUGGGACUGAGACACGGCCCAAACUCCUACGGGAGGCAGCAGUGGGGAAUAUUGGACAAUGGGCGAAAGCCUGAUCCAGCGACGCCGCGUGAGUGAAGAAGUAUUUCGGUAUGUAAAGCUCUA